rnacentral:rRNA from 1 species
AGGUUGAACGCUGGCGGCAUGCCUUACACAUGCAAGUCGAACGGCAGCACGGGAGCAAUCCUGGUGGCGAGUGGCGAACGGGUGAGUAAUACAUCGGAACGUGCCCAAUCGUGGGGGAUAACGCAGCGAAAGCUGUGCUAAUACCGCAUAAGAUCUACGGAUGAAAGCAGGGGAUCGCAAGACCUUGCGCGAAUGGAGCGGCCGAUGGCAGAUUAGGUAGUUGGUGAGGUAAAGGCUCACCAAGCCUUCGAUCUGUAGCUGGUCUGAGAGGACGACCAGCCACACUGGGACUGAGACACGGCCCAGACUCCUACGGGAGGCAGCAGUGGGAAUUUGGACAUGGGCGAAAGCCUGAUCCAGCCAUGCCGCGUGCAGGAUGAAGGCCUUCGGUUGUAACUGCUUUUGUACGGAACGAAAGUCUACUUACUAAUAAACGAGGAUCAGUGACGUACGUAAGAAUAA